rnacentral:misc_RNA from 1 species
GAUGAAGAACGUAGCGAAAUGCGAUAAGUAAUGUGAAUUGCAGAAUUCAGUGAAUCAUCGAAUCUUUGAACGCACAUUGCGCCCGCCAGUAUUCUGGCGGGCAUGCCUGUUCGAGCGUCAUUUCAACCAUCAAGCCCCCGGCUUGUGUUGGGGACCUGCGGCUGCCGCAGGCCCUGAAAACCAGUGGCGGGCUCGCUAGUCACUCCGAGCGUAGUAAUACAUCUCGCUCAGGGCGUGCUGCGCGUUCCGGCCGUUAAAAAGCCUUAUUUACCCAAGGUUGACCUCGGAUCAGGUAGGAAGACCCGCUGAACUUAAGCAUAUCAAUAAGCGGAGGA